GCAUUUCACAGUGCUACGGCUUCCACAGAUGACAUUUUUGUACAAUUUGGAAUACAGGACCUUAACCUGUAACUGAGUACUUCUUCCACCUCUGCCUGUGUCAGCUGCAGGUUUCUUGAUUCUCCGAACGACCACCCUCCUCCUCCUGCCUUGAACCCCAGCAUUGAAGCCUGCAGCCCUCCCCUCCCC